UUAUAUCUUCUACCUUUCUUGGUUUUGUUUUGAAAGCAUGAGUUUAAAAGUGAUAUUUCUGAGCUCAGAGCUAAGUUUCAUUUCCUUCCAUUUAAUUUUAAUUCUUCUUCUUCUUCUUCUUCUUCUUUUUAUUUGAUUUUUGCUUUGGUCCUAACUUAAUUCAAAGUGAACAAGCCCCAACCAGUUCCAGACCAAGCUGGAAUUAUAAUUUAAAGGCCCUCUAAGGAGAGCCUCAAUGCUUGGUUAUACCCUCCGGCUGCAUUUGGGGUCAAGGCAAUGAAAUUGCACAUUCUACUAAUACUUGAGCAGGCUCUUAUUUGUCUUCCUUCAUUCAACAUGUAUGGUAUUGGAAUCAACAUCUUGGCUAUUUAAAGAU
rnacentral:lncRNA from 1 species